rnacentral:lncRNA from 1 species
AUAGUGCCAUCCUUUGUGAGUCAUCCACAUGUGAGCUGUUGGAGAAUAUUUAAAAUCCAAACCACAACCAAUAGUAAGAUAGUUAGGGUUCCACUCCGGACAACUUGAGAGAGCAUAGGCCCAUUGAAUUCUCAGUAAAUGAUGCAUAUUGUGCCCCUGCAGAUGAAACAAUCAUAACUGAAGUUCAACCAAUGUUUUGGGAUGUAUCGUGUCUGAGGCCUCGUGUCAGCCACUGUGGAUAAGGAAAAGACAUGCACCCUCAGCAGAAGGCAGAGCAUAAACAAAGGCAAGGAGACACCAGGGAAGAUGCCCUGAUUGAAUUCUAGCAAGGAACAUACUUAACCACUUACUGAGACACUUAGAACUUUGUGUGUUCCUCAAAAUUGCUAACACACUCAUCCCUUUCCAGGUUCUUAAACAAUUUUUCUCUUUUCUUAUUGAUAUCAUUUUGCCUAAUGGUCCUUCUCAGGAACAAAUCCAAGCCGUCCCUCUCCAGGUUCCAGAGGAUACUUUCCCAGCUGAGAUGAAAAUAUUUCCUUCCAGAGAGGAAAUAUUUCCUUUCUUUCCUGAGAGGAAGAAGACCAUUCAAGGUCAACAACAUAUGGGACAGCCCUCAAGAAUGAGAGUAGAGAACAUUCCAGAGCAUCACUGUGACCAUCACAUAUGGUACAUCUGAAAAUUGAGGCCCAAGCAGGAUGUGUUCUUAUAUACCAUGGUAAAAAAGGAAUUAGAAAAACCUCCAGGAGGCUAACGGAUGUGAGGGAAGGAUUUCAGGCAAGUCAAUAAUAUGCUCAAAUUUAAUUGUAAGGAUUCAGUCUAGCAUCACAGAUGAGGGAUGAAUUGAGGAAGAGGCAAGUCUUGCUCCCAGAGACUGCUAAAAGACUUGAAGUAACAGAAGCAACAAGCAAUGAGGUUUUGAGGACAGAAAGUACAUAGGAUACUUUCAAGGAGAAAAAGUUGCCUGGACUUGAUGAUCAGUUGGCUUUUGCUGGGUGGAGAAAAUGCAGAAAUAUAAAAUGCCUCCUAAAUUUCUGAACUAGAUCCCUUGGGCAAUGUGCCUUCUACAAAGAAAGAUGAGAAAGAACAGUUUUGAAAUACAUAAUAAUAACAGCUGAAAUGCAUAGAGUUCUCACUUGCCACUCAUUAUACUGAAUUCUGUGUCAUUUCUUGUGUCAAAAACGAGUCCAGUUUUGGGAAGGAUGAGUUUGGGCAGCUCAUGACUAUCCAUGUCGAUAUCCUCACCAUCAGCUCCAGGGGAAUAUCUGAGUCUGCAGCUUAGAGGAGCUACUGGGAUUGGAAAUCAAAAUUUAUGACUUGUGAGGAUAAC